AACAAAAAAAAGUAAAGGACAGAGAAAUUAAAUUUCAAAGGUGAACAGCUCAAAUCAGUACCUCGUUCGUUGUCUCUUUCGUUGGAGACAAGGAAGUAAAUGCCGACUUCUAAGAGAAACUUGUCAUCUCAAAGAAGAAUAAUUCACCGACGCCGUUGACCGCCGUGGACUCGCCGCCAGAAGAUCUAACACUUGUAGAUGGAGAGCCAUCAAACCUAAUUAGCUAUUUGACCGGACCACUUGGUCAAUCCACGGCAGCGGCCGCCGCUAAUGUCAACGCUUGGUCUGGAAUCGCUACUCUUCUUGGAGCUUUUCUAGGUCGGUAUCGAACAAUUAUCGUCGCUUCUCUUAUCUACGUUCUGGGAUUGGCAUUUCUGACUUUAUCUGCGUUUCUGAUUCCAAAUACUUCUGAAGUGAUCUCCUUCUUUACUCAAUGCGCUCUUCUUCUUCUCUCUGUAUUUGGUGGCUAUUGGACAAAGUGGACACAAGCCUUGUGUUCAGGCUUUUUGUGGUGACCAGUUUGAUGAGAAAGACUCU